AGGGAAUCUUCCGCAAUGGACGAAAGUCUGACGGAGCAACGCCGCGUGAGUGAAGAAGGCCUUCGGGUCGUAAAACUCUGUUGCCGGGGAAGAACAAGUGCCGUUCGAACAGGGCGGUGCCUUGACGGUACCCGGCCAGAAAGCCACGGCUAACUACGUGCCAGCAGCCGCGGUAAUACGUAGGUGGCAAGCGUUGUCCGGAAUUAUUGGGCGUAAAGCGCGCGCAGGCGGUUUCUUAAGUCUGAUGUGAAAUCUUGCGGCUCAACCGCAAGCGGUCAUUGGAAACUGGAAGACUUGAGUGCAGAAGAGGAGAGUGGAAUUCCACGUGUAGCGGUGAAAUGCGUAGAGAUGUGGAGGAACACCAGUGGCGAAGGCGACUCUCUGGUCUGUAACUGACGCUGAGGCGCGAAAGCGUGGGGAGCAAAC
rnacentral:rRNA from 1 species